rnacentral:lncRNA from 1 species
CAGAGGGGCCCUCUCCUCGUGGGCUGGAGCUGGUGGCCACGUGUGGCCUCCCAGCCUCUCCAGCCUCUGGAGGAGAGUGCACAGCACCUGUGGACGGUCAGGGCUCCCGGGACCACAGGCCUGGUUGACAGACGGCCUCUGGUCUUGCUGCAGCUCAGGGACCUUGCACCAGCCACCUGGACUCCAUCUGGUCAGAUAUCAUCUCAGGAGGGACGGUCCUCGGGCUCCAUGGAUGACCUGUCUUCCUUGCCGCCUUCCUCUCCACCUGGGGUCUUCCUACAGGGUUUCGGGGGUCUUCCCGCCGGCUGCCCUUCUGCAGGGUGGAGCGGGGACAGCCUGCGCCUCCUGCUCGGAGCCUCCUCCCCGGGGGCCUCCCUCCUCCUCCCAGCCAGUUCCACUUUCAUCUCCGUCUGUCACUUCCCCAUCUCCCCUUCGUCUCCAAGUCCCCUGGAUUUUAUUGAGAACACAGAACAGAUGCUUUCUAAAAACUGCCGUCUCCGCGGGGAGCAGUGACCAUAGGUUCUGGCUCCUAUAUAUAAACACGCGGAGACGCUCCCAGGGCGCGCUCUGCCGGGGCUCCCACCAGCCAUGCGGUUGUCCUGCAGACGGGCGCUUCCCCAGGUGGGCAGCUGCUCCAUGGCCCUCAGGUCCCUGGCUGCAGAGCCACCUGGGGAAGCGUGUGGCCUACCCAGGCCCGAUCCUCCCUCUGUUGAUCUGCCCCCAGCCCCGGGCAGGGCGCGUCCCCACCCCUCAGCCACUCACCAGGAGGGAGGGAUUGCCCCCCAGUCACUUGAAGGGACUCUUGCAGAGGAAGGGAAGGUCUCGGAGCCUCCACAGGGCUCACCCUCUCCUCCCGAUGCCCCUGCCUGGGUGGAGACACAGGGGGCUCACCACAGGGGGUGCGGCCAGCACAGUGGAGUGGGGCUGUGGGUCUCACUCCCAGACCCCAGCCCAAAGCCUUCCUCUCAGAGUCAGGAGAGUGAGCUACCCUCCCAUCUUGGGGCUCUCCCCAUGGAUGACAGAGGUCCUCUGGCAGGCCACUGGCCACAGCCCCAGGCCACAGCCCCAGGCUCCAAGGCCUUUCCCUGAG